rnacentral:misc_RNA from 1 species
UUCAUUAUACUAAAAGUUUAAGGAUGCUUUAUGUGAUGACUGUAGGCUUCUCCCUACCUGUGAAGUCCUUCAACUUUGAUACAGACAAUGCCACAUCUAUCAGUGGUUUCAAGGCUGUUUGGGCAUCCAUCUCGUGUUUAGAGGCAUCAGGUUCAAACUGUUCAAUGUACAUUCUGACAGUUGCACCCGCAGAUCCAGUUCCAGAUAAACGAAAUAUUAUCCUUGAUCCAUCAGUAAA